rnacentral:ncRNA from 2 species
UAUGCCUGGGCAGGGCGAA